UACGAAGGGGGCUAGCGUUGUUCGGAUUUACUGGGCGUAAAGCGCACGUAGGCGGAUUUUUAAGUCAGGGGUGAAAUCCCAAGGCUCAACCUUGGAACUGCCUUUGAUACUGGAAGUCUCGAGUACGGGAGAGGUGAGUUGAACUGCGAGUGUAGAGGUGAAAUUCGUAGAUAUUCGCAAGAACACCAGUGGCGAAGGCUGCUCACUGGCCCGGAACUGACGCUGAGGUGCGAAAGCUUGGGGAGCAAACAGG
rnacentral:rRNA from 1 species